AGCUUCGGCUAUUGGGCAGUAUAAAAAUGUAAUAAAUAAGUAAAUAAAUAAAUGUGAAGCAAAGGUGUAAUACAUGUUGCCUUAAUAAUUUCUCACCUGAAACUGAUUUUCUAAGAAAAAUCCUUUCUAGUAUAUGUUGCAUUUACGGUCUUUUGAAUGCAAAAUAUAUACUUGCUAUAUUGGAUUAAAAUCUAAGUAUGGUAAUUGAAACACAAUCUCUCCUUAUUCCCCCUGCCCCAUCCUUUUCUUCUGGCAGUAAAGCCAUGCAUAUGAAGUUGCUCACAAAUACCCAACCUCUAUUUCUAAGUCUGAAUUGUGUUAUACUAGAAAACCAAAAUUAAUUUACCCAAUGCAAUUACCAGUUUAAACUGUGUGCUAGCAUGUGCCUCUGACUUGCCUCUUUAUUAUUCACAAGUGCUCUGCAAGUUCUUUGUUUUACCAAAAAGUUAUCAUUCAUCUGACUACUUAGCUAUACUUUUCAACAAAUACGUAAUACACUUCUUAUAAAAAGGCUUAUUUGUCCAAUUGCAGAUGCCUUAUAAGCAUUACACCUUGAAGUGCCAUUAAGAAAACCAGUAGCAAGUAAUUGAUCCGAACAAUGUGAACUUCAUAUUGAUUCGUUUAAUGGAGAGAGAAAAGCCUUUAUGGCUACUGGGAAAAUGUAAAUGGACUAUUUUAGUUAGAUGUAACAAUGAUUAACAAUUCAUCAGAUGGAACAAUCUCUGUUUCUAUGCCUUAAGUUUUAAAAUUGCAUCUUAAAAUCUGUAGUAGCUGACAACAAAAAUGAAACUAGCUAUAUCAUGGAAUGUUAGCUCCAAACUGUUACUGUUUGGUAAUUCAUAAUUUCUAGCUAACCGUUGUGCCAAUGUAAAUUAAACCAGUUAUCACACAGACUGAUUUCCAUAUGCUUGGCCUUCUAGAGCAAAACAUUAUUAUAUGGCAAUUUCCUUUUUAAACUAGAUGAAAACCAGCUACUUACGUAGUGCAUAAAUCUUUAAAUGUGCCCCUCCCCCUUAUAGUGCAUUGUAAACAAAAGAUCAGUUUUCCAACACAUCAACUGAGGUAAAUAUAAGUUCUGCACCAAAUGAAUGCCGGUCUAAUAAAUUUAGGGUGGAAUCCUAAGUAUAUUUAGACAGAAAAAAGUGCUACAACUCUCAGCAUUCUUCCACCAUGCUGGAAAACUGGAAAAUGCUGGGCAUUGUAGGACUUCUUUUCUGUCUAUAAACAUGCAUAGGAUGGCGCCCUUAAUUAGAAUACUGAAUUUUGAAGAAAAGUGUGCAUGAGACAGGUGAUAGAAAAUUGCUUUUACUAAGUGGCAAUACAUUUUAUAUGAUAAUUCAUUGUGUAAACUAGGAGCAAUGUUAAACUUAAAUAUUUGAUUGCUGCUGAUUCCUGAAGAUGUUUCCAUGUUAUUCCUGAAAAAUGACUUAUCCCAAAACACACUCAUUCAUACUUUGUCACAAAAACAGUAAUGAAAUCAUGUUCUGAAUUUGUGCCCAAUAGCUCAGUAUAUUCAUAUUUUACUUGGAAGUUCCAUACAGCUUACUUCUGAGUAAGUUUGUGUAGGAAUAGCUGAACUCUUUUAUGUGUACUUGGAGGUAAAUUCUAUUGGACUCGGUGAGACUUAUGAAUAAAUAUCUGUGUGAUCAGGCCAUUAAUCUAUAUAAUGAGAAACAUUGUCAUAGUUCAUCCUAAUAGUACUUUGUGUAUAUUAUAUGGUAAAACAACAUAAAAUAUAUCAAUAGCUAUUUGGGUGUGUUUAGUUUUCAAUUAGAGUUAUGGCUCCUUAGAAUGUAAGAACUUCUAAAAAUUUGGUAAUUAAGAUCUAAUUGUGAAUUCUUUUUUUAAUAAACGACUCUAAAACAA